rnacentral:tRNA from 1 species
GGGUGAUGUGGUGGUGUGACACUGGCUUGCACUGUGUUGACAUCGCAGGGGUCGCAAGUUCAAUCCUUGCCACGCCCACCA